UCCAUAGCUAUAGUGGUUCAUACAAAAAU
rnacentral:piRNA from 1 species